rnacentral:rRNA from 1 species
CCCUUAGAUGUUCUGGGCCGCACGCGCGCUACACUGACGAAUGCAACGAGCUUAUAACCUUGGCCGAAAGGUCUGGGUAAUCUCCAAAUUUCGUCGUGAUGGGGAUAGAUUAUUGCAAUUAUUAAUCUUCAACGAGGAAUGCCUAGUAAGCGCAAGUCAUCAGCUUGCGUUGAUUACGUCCCUGCCCUUUGUACACACCGCCCGUCGCUCCUACCGAUUGAAUGGUCCGGUGAAGCGUUCGGACCGUGGCCUUUGGACGGUUCGCCGUCUGUUGGCUGCGGGAAGUUCGUUAAACCUUNUNAUUUAANGGAAGGAGAANUCGUANCA